AAUAAAUUCACUUUUAAUACAAUUUUGAGAUGGGAAACAGGAUGGGCAAAAGUGCGGACACGCUGGCACUCGAUACGGAAACGAAACAAACCGAACUGAUGAUCAUGAACGCCAUGACGUCGUUCUGCCUGAAAGAGUGCAAGCCGAGCCAGCACGAGUCGCACUUCAGCUCCUUGGAGGAGUGCUCCCUGGCCUGCAAGAACAUAUUCCUCGAGCUGCUGACGGACUUCAAUCAAAGCGAGUGCCAGUGCCCGUGCAAGUGCCAUGGCGCGGAGCCAGCCCCACUGGAAGGCCAGACAAAUUCAAGCAUUUGAUGAAGCAACUUUCUUCUACAUCGAAAAGUACUUCCCAGACAUCAGUCGAAAUUACUGCCAAUGCAAGGGCCAUGGGAAUGGUGACAAAAUUAUGGAAUCAAGAGGGACUAAUGAAUUUGUGGAAUCAUGAAAAAGUUAUAAUAAUAAAUACCCAAAUUGUGAUGAAAUUUUAA